AUUGAACGCUGGCGGCAGGCCUAACACAUGCAAGUCGAACGCGAAAGCUCCUUCGGGAGUGAGUAGAGUGGCGGACGGGUGAGUAACACGUAGGAAUCUACCCAGGAGUGGGGGACAACCCGGAGAAAUUCGGGCUAAUACCGCAUACGCCCUACGGGGUAAAGUGGGGGACCUCUUCGGAGGCCUCACGCUUCUGGAUGAGCCUGCGUCGGAUUAGCUUGUUGGUGAGGUAAAGGCUCACCAAGGCGACGAUCCGUAGCUGGUCUGAGAGGAUGACCAGUCACACUGGGACUGAGACACGGCCCAGACUCCUACGGGAGGCAGCAGUGGGGAAUAUUGGACAAUGGGGGAAACCCUGAUCCAGCCAUGCCGCGUGUGUGAAGAAGGCCCUAGGGUUGUAAAGCACUUUCAGUGGGGAAGAAAAGCCUGAGGUAAAUAAUCUCGGGUAUUGACGGUACCCACAGAAGAAGCACCGGCUAAUUCCGUG
rnacentral:rRNA from 1 species